AUUGAACGCUGGCGGUAGGCCUAACACAUGCAAGUCGAACGCGAAAGUCCUUCGGGAUGAGUAGAGUGGCGGACGGGUGAGUAACGCGUAGGAAUCUAUCCUGUAGUGGGGGAUAACGUUUCGAAAGGAACGCUAAUACCGCAUACGCCCCAAGGGGGAAAGCGGGGGAUCUUCGGACCUCGUGCUAUAGGAGGAGCCUGCGUCGGAUUAGCUAGUUGGUGAGGUAAAGGCUCACCAAGGCGGCGAUCCGUAGCUGGUCUGAGAGGAUGAUCAGCGACACCGGAGCUGGGACACGUUCCGGACUCCUACGGGAGGCGGCAGUGGGGAAUAUUGCGCAAUGGGCGAAAGCCUAACUCAGCCAUACCGCGUGUGUGAAGAAGGCCUUCGGGUUGUAAAGCACUUUCAGUGGGGAGGAAAAGCUGGUGGCUAAUAUCCAUCGGCCGUGACGCUACCCACAGAAGAAGCACCGGCUAAUUCCGUGCCAGCAGCCGCCGUAA
rnacentral:rRNA from 1 species